rnacentral:rRNA from 1 species
GACGAACGCUGGCGGCGCGCCUAACACAUGCAAGUCGAACGAGCGAGAGAGAGCUUGCUUUCUCGAGCGAGUGGCGAACGGGUGAGUAACGCGUGAGGAACCUGCCUCAAAGAGGGGGACAACAGUUGGAAACGACUGCUAAUACCGCAUAAGCCCACGGUGCCGCAUGGCACAGAGGGAAAAGGAGCAAUCCGCUUUGAGAUGGCCUCGCGUCCGAUUAGCUAGUUGGUGAGGUAACGGCCCACCAAGGCGACGAUCGGUAGCCGGACUGAGAGGUUGAACGGCCACAUUGGGACUGAGACACGGCCCAGACUCCUACGGGAGGCAGCAGUGGGGAAUAAUGCACAAUGGGGGAAACCCUGAUGCAGCGACGCCGCGUGGAGGAAGAAGGUCUUCGGAUUGUAAACUCCUGUUGUUGGGGAAGAUAAUGACGGUACCCAACAAGGAAGUGACGGCUAACUACGUGCCAGCAGCCGCGGUAAAACGUAGGUCACAAGCGUUGUCCGGAAUUACUGGGUGUAAAGGGAGCGCAGGCGGGAAGACAAGUUGGAAGUGAAAUCUAUGGGCUCAACCCAUAAACUGCUUUCAAAACUGUUUUUCUUGAGUAGUGCAGAGGUAGGCGGAAUUCCCGGUGUAGCGGUGGAAUGCGUAGAUAUCGGGAGGAACACCAGUGGCGAAGGCGGCCUACUGGGCACCAACUGACGCUGAGGCUCGAAAGUGUGGGUAGCAAACAGGAUUAGAUACCCUGGUAGUCCACACCGUA